UGUGUGUAUCCGUGUCUGUCUGUGUUUGUCCGUGUGUAUGUCCGUGUCUGUGUAUAACCGUGUCCGACUGUCCGUCUGUGUGUGUAUCUGUGUCUGUCUGUCAGUGUAUGUGUGUAUGUGUUUGUGAUGGCCGAUAUCAACAAGAUGCAGCAGCCCAUAGGACGACGACCAAGACCAACACAGGACGUAGGAGGCCUUAGGAUGAUGACCCAUAUAAACUCAGGAUGCAGGAGCCUGUAGGAUGAUUAUCGAUAUCUACACAUAGCGUAGGCCAUCACCAGUUAAGAUCUUAAAGGAUGAUGGCCGAUAUCUACACAUGACAGGGGACAUCAACAGUUGAGCAGAUGAUGAAGGAUCUCAAGGACGACAGCCAAUAUAGUGAGAAACGAGGACAUCAUCGGCAGAUAGAGGAUGCAGAAUCCCCGAAAAUAGCAGGAUCCCCAAAAAUAGCAGGAUCCCAGAAGAUGACGGCUACACACGGCUGCACACAGCUUGGGACAUCAGCAGAUGAAAGUAUGU